rnacentral:lncRNA from 1 species
AUGAGGAAUCCCUCAUUAGGUAAAGCAGAAUUAGAGGUAAAGCAGAGUCUGGCAUUGCUUGCUGCAAGACAGCCUGAGUUUGGCAAGAACGGGGCGAGAGUCCAGCGUCAGCUCCCGCAGCCUGGGUCGGCACCUUGCCUGCUCUCCUCUUGGUGGCAUAGACACAGUUAUGCAGCGCCUGAGCCUGGUCUUCUGGCUACUUCUUGGAAGCCCAUGUAUCGAGAAAGGAAGUCAGACUUGCUUGAGCCAAACAGGAUCCACAAAUGGAGGAACAGCUCCUGAUUAUACCGGU